UACGGGGGGGGCAAGCGUUGUUCGGAAUUACUGGGCGUAAAGGGCUCGUAGGCGGCCAACUAAGUCGGAUGUGAAAUCCCCAGGCUCAACUUGGGAACUGCAUCCGAUACUGGAUGGCUUGAAUUCGGGAGAGGGAUGCAGAAUUCCAGGUGUAGCGGUGAAAUGCGUAGAUAUCUGGAGGAAUACCGGUGGCGAAGGCGGCAUCCUGGACCGACAUUGACGCUGAGGCACGAAAGCGUGGGGAGCAAACAGG
rnacentral:rRNA from 1 species